rnacentral:rRNA from 1 species
UCCGCGUCCCAUCAGCUAGUUGGUGAGGUAAUGGCUCACCAAGGCGAAGACGGGUAGCUGGUCUGAGAGGAUGAUCAGCCACACUGGAACUGAGACACGGUCCAGACUCCUACGGGAGGCAGCAGUGGGGAAUAUUGCGCAAUGGGCGAAAGCCUGACGCAGCCACGCCGCGUGAGCGAUGAAGGUCUUCGGAUCGUAAAGCUCUGUGGGGGGAGAAGAAGAAAGUCGGUGAAGAGCCGGCCCUGACGGUAUCCCCUUAGCAAGCACCGGCUAACUCCGUGCCAGCAGCCGCGGUAAUACGGAGGGUGCAAACGUUGCUCGGAAUCAUUGGGCGUAAAGCGCGCGUAGGCGGCUGAACAAGUUGGAUGUGAAAGCCCUGGGCUCAACCUAGGAUGUGCAUUCAAAACUGUUCGGCUUGAGUCUCGGAGGGGGUCAGAGAAUUCUCGGUGUAGAGGUGAAAUUCGUAGAUAUCGGGAGGAACACCAGUGGCG